rnacentral:rRNA from 1 species
GACGAACGCUGGCGGCGUGCUUAACACAUGCAAGUCGAACGGAAAGGCCCUGCUUUUGUGGGGUGCUCGAGUGGCGAACGGGUGAGUAACACGUGAGUAACCUGCCCUUGACUUUGGGAUAACUUCAGGAAACUGGGGCUAAUACCGGAUAGGAGCUCCUGCUGCAUGGUGGGGGUUGGAAAGUUUCGGCGGUUGGGGAUGGACUCGCGGCUUAUCAGCUUGUUGGUGGGGUAGUGGCCUACCAAGGCGUUGAGGCGUAGCCGGCCUGAGAGGGUGAUCAGGCACACUGGAACGGAGACACGGGCCAGACGCCUAAGGGAGGCAGCAGGGGGGAAUAGUGGACAAUGGGCGAAAGCCGGAUCCAGCCAUGCCGCGUGGGGGAAGAAGGUCUUCGGAUUGUAAAGCACGUUAAGUUGGGAGGAAGGGCAGUAAGUGAAUACCUUGCUGUUGUGACGUUACCAACAGAAUAAGCACCGGCUAACUUCGUG